UGAGAGUGAUCCUGGCUCAGGAUGAACGCUAGCUACAGGCUUAACACAUGCAAGUCGAGGGGCAGCAUGGUCUUAGCUUGCUAAGGCCGAUGGCGACCGGCGCACGGGUGAGUAACGCGUAUCCAACCUGCCUUACACUCUUGGACAGCCUUCUGAAAGGGAGAUUAAUACAAGAUGUUAUCAUGAGUAAGCAUUUUCACAUGAUUAAAGGUUUACCGGUGUAAGAUGGGGAUGCGUUCCAUUAGAUAGUAGGCGGGGUAACGGCCCACCUAGUCUUCGAUGGAUAGGGGUUCUGAGAGGAAGGUCCCCCACAUUGGAACUGAGACACGGUCCAAACUCCUACGGGAGGCAGCAGUGAGGAAUAUUGGUCAAUGGACGAGAGUCUGAACCAGCCAAGUAGCGUGAGGGAUGAAGGUUCUAUGGAUUGUAAACUUCUUUUAUACGGGAAUAAACGAAUCCACGUGUGGAUUUUUGCAUGUACCGUAUGAAUAAGGAUCGGCUAACUCCGUGCCAGCAGCCGCGGUAAUACGGAGGAUCCGAGCGUUAUCCGGAUUUAUUGGGUUUAAAGGGAGCGUAGAUGGGUUGUUAAGUCAGUUGUGAAAGUUUGCGGCUCAACCGUAAAAUUGCAAUUGAUACUGGCAGUCUUGAGUACAGUUGAGGUAGGCGGAAUUCGUGGUGUAGCGGUGAAAUGCUUAGAUAUCACGAAGAACUCCGAUUGCGAAGGCAGCUUACUAACCUGUAACUGACAUUGAUGCUCGAAAGUGUGGGUAUCAAACAGGAUUAGAUACCCUGGUAGUCCACACGGUAAACGAUGAAUACUCGCUGUAGGCGAUAUACAGUCUGCGGCCAAGCGAAAGCAUUAAGUAUUCCACCUGGGGAGUACGCCGGCAACGGUGAAACUCAAAGGAAUUGACGGGGGCCCGCACAAGCGGAGGAACAUGUGGUUUAAUUCGAUGAUACGCGAGGAACCUUACCCGGGCUUAAAUUGCAACCGAAUAUGGCGGAAACGCUAUAGCUAGCAAUAGCGGUUGUGAAGGUGCUGCAUGGUUGUCGUCAGCUCGUGCCGUGAGGUGUCGGCUUAAGUGCCAUAACGAGCGCAACCCUUGCCGAUAGUUACUAACAGGUCAUGCUGAGGACUCUGUCGGGACUGCCAUCGUAAGAUGUGAGGAAGGUGGGGAUGACGUCAAAUCAGCACGGCCCUUACGUCCGGGGCUACACACGUGUUACAAUGGGGGGUACAGAGGGCUGCUACCACGCAAGUGGAUGCCAAUCCCAAAAACCUCUCUCAGUUCGGAUUGAAGUCUGCAACCCGACUUCAUGAAGCUGGAUUCGCUAGUAAUCGCGCAUCAGCCACGGCGCGGUGAAUACGUUCCCGGGCCUUGUACACACCGCCCGUCAAGCCAUGGGAGCCGGGGGUACCUGAAGUGCGUAACCGCAGGGAGCGCCCUAGGGUAAAACUGGUGACUGGGGCUAAGUCGUAACAAGGUAGCC
rnacentral:rRNA from 1 species